UAGGGAAUCUUCCACAAUGGACGAAAGUCUGAUGGAGCAACGCCGCGUGAGUGAAGAAGGGUUUCGGCUCGUAAAGCUCUGUUGGUAGUGAAGAAAGAUAGAGGUAGUAACUGGCCUUUAUUUGACGGUAAUUACUUAGAAAGUCACGGCUAACUACGUGCCAGCAGCCGCGGUAAUACGUAGGUGGCAAGCGUUGUCCGGAUUUAUUGGGCGUAAAGCGAGUGCAGGCGGUUCAAUAAGUCUGAUGUGAAAGCCUUCGGCUCAACCGGAAAAUUGCAUCAGAAACUGUUGAACUUGAGUGCAGAAGAGGAGAGUGGAACUCCAUGUGUAGCGGUGGAAUGCGUAGAUAUGACGAAGAACUCCGAUCGCGAAGGCAGGUGUCCGGGGUGCAACUGACGCUGAGGCUCG
rnacentral:rRNA from 1 species